rnacentral:rRNA from 1 species
GACGAACGCUGGCGGCGUGCUUAACACAUGCAAGUCGAACGGAAAGGCCCCUUUGGGGGUACUCGAGUGGCGAACGGGUGAGUAACACGUGAGUAACCUGCCCUUGACUUCGGGAUAACUUCAGGAAACUGGGGCUAAUACCGGAUAGGAAUCCUUGCUGCAUGGUGGGGGUUGGAAAGCUUCGGCGGUUUUGGAUGGACUCGCGGCUUAUCAGCUUGUUGGUGGGGUAGUGGCUUACCAAGGCUUUGACGGGUAGCCGGCCUGAGAGGGCGACCGGCCACAUUGGGACUGAGAUACGGCCCAGACUCCUACGGGAGGCAGCAGGAGGGAAUAUUGCACAAUGGGCGGAAGCCUGAUGCAGCAACGCCGCGUGCGGGAUGACGGCCUUCGGGUUGUAAACCGCUUUCAGCAGGGGCGAAGCUUGUGGUGACGGUACCUGCAGAAGAAGCACCGGCUAACUACGUG